GGACGCGGUGUCUCGGUUCUCCACUGGAAUCAGCAACUCCCUGGAACUCGGGCCUCUGGCCCCGUCCCUCUUUUCUCCGGCAGGGACGCAGGAUGCCUUGGUGCACUCUAGAGACGGGGACCGGAGGGUGCAGCGCGCCUGGGUGGGGCGAAGGGCGCCGGUCUCCUCACGCCCUCUGACUUUAGGAUACCAGACAGUGUCUCUUCAACCCCACCCCAGGCGCAGGUUUCCAGAAGGCGGGGUGGGUGGGGCCCCCGAUUUCCAGAAGGCGAGUUACCUAGCAGGAGAAAAAUCAAGACGUUCCCUUCAGUCCUCCCUCGGUGUUAACGUCUGCUCCAGCUCGCAGCCCGCUGCUGGGCAUUUUAUUAAUGCUUUUACGAGUUAGAAGAGUUGGGAUAAUUUGCCAUCUGGAGUUUCUCUGCCUUGCUGAUCUGAGCUCAGACCUGCCAAUUUACCAGAGAUAAUUGAUAACACCCUGUAACAGCUGAGAGGAAAAUGGAAGAAACGGAGAUACUUUUAGUGAAGCAGAAUAAACCACUGAACAGAUGGAGUCUCACUCUGUUGCCCAGACUGGAAUGCAGUGGUGUGAUCUCAACUGACUGCAACCUCCGUAUCCUGGGUUCAAGCAACUCUCCUGCUGCAGCCACGAAAAAUGAGGAAGCUGUGAGUACCAGUGGAAGGAACGAGCCAGGAAGAGGGACUGGAACCAUCUCAGAAGCCAUGCCCCUCAGGCUGGAACUUGCCCUGUCUCCUCGCAGAUGAGCUACCUCUUGUGUUUAAGAAUUAAAGGAAGAUGAGCUAGGAAUCAAGAAAUACGCAGAACUGAUUCCUGUCACUGGCGCCACCCUGCCACUUGCCCAGAGCUGUGGUAUAAAUUUUUUUAAUAGGCUGAAAUAAAAAUAUGAAUAGCAUUUUGGUAUUAAGCAUUAAAUUGAUAAAGGCUAUGAGAUACACCUGCUCUCAACCAUGUUAAUUUUUUAUUAUUGGUAUUAAUAAAUUAUUACUUACUAACAUAUUAACAAGAAUUGCAUUGAGAAACAAAGCAUCCACAGGCCAAAUCUUCUGAAUUUCAAAUGUUUAUAUUAAUGCGUUGUAUUCUAGAAAAGUAGAAUUGUCUUAAGUAGCUUUGUAAUAUAAAGUCAUCUAUCAGCCCAUUACACCUAUUAGAAUGUUUUAACCUUUAUUUCCCACUUUUUUGUUUCUAGACUGAGUGUACUUGGUCUGGUAUUUGUGGCAUAACUUACGGAACACAUAAGAAUGAUACAGAUACUAUUUAAUGAUGACCUAAUACAAGCUUAGAUAGCUAAGGUGAAAGCUUCUAUGGCCUUAACAUUUUCCUCUUGAAGAAUGUAUUUUCUGUAAUAAAAUACAGUGGCUACUUGAAAUCUAUAAACUUAUGUGAGGUCUGGAUAAAUCUGAGCAACUUUCUUCUUUGUGCUCCAGGAACCUACGCACUAUAUAUAUAAAUAAAGCUUAAGUAAACA
rnacentral:lncRNA from 1 species